ACCUCUGUGGUGUAGUGAUAGCACGCGUCCCUGGAUAGAAUGAAACACGGGUUCGACUCCCUCUGAGGUC